UGAGGAAUAUUGGUCAAUGGGCGAGAGCCUGAACCAGCCAAGUAGCGUGCAGGAUGACGGCCCUAUGGGUUGUAAACUGCUUUUAUGUGGGGAUAAAGUGCGUGACGUGUCAUGCAUUGCAGGUACCACAUGAAUAAGGACCGGCUAAUUCCGUGCCAGCAGCCGCGGUAAUACGGAAGGUCCGGGCGUUAUCCGGAUUUAUUGGGUUUAAAGGGAGCGUAGGCUGUCUAUUAAGCGUGUUGUGAAAUUUACCGGCUCAACCGGUGGCUUGCAGGGGGAACUGGUCGAAUUGAGUAUGCAGGAAGUAGGCGGAAUUCAUGGUGUAGCGGUGAAAUGCUUAGAUAUCAUGACGAACUCCGAUUGCGCAGGCAGCUUACUGUAGCAUAACUGACGCUGAUGCUCGAAAGUGCGGGUAUCAAACAGG
rnacentral:rRNA from 1 species